CAAAAAUAAAAAAACUCUUUAAAAAUUCAUCAUUAAAAAAUCCAAAUUCAUCAACUUUAAACUUAGAAAUUAUCACUGAAAUCGAUAGCGAUAUUGAAAUGCCUUCACAUAGUGAAAGCGAAGUAAACAUCAUUCAAGGAACAACAUCUAAGAAGAAAACUUUCAAUGAAAACAUGGUGCUUUUAAGUCUUACAACAAUAGCGGCCAAAGUGAAGAUGAAAAUACAAUAAUUAAAGGAAAGGCACCGUUGAAAAGGAAAAUUAAUACUAAACAUCCCCUGGCUGAUGAAUGGACUAGUUCUUCGGAAGAAGAAACAACAUUCAACCCUACAUUAUUACAACAGUUACCUGAAUACAUCCCCUUAAAAAGAACAACUCGAAAUCAUUCUCAAAAUAUCUUACAAAAUGAAAAGAACAUGAUGUUUUUCAAUGCGAUUCAUCAACUACAGAUGCAUCUACAAACGAUAGCGAUCAUCAAUUUCCAAAAAUAAGACAUAAAAGAAUUGCCAAUCGACAAAGAACAGGAAGAAUUGCGAAACCAGACGAGAGAGAUAGAAGCGGAAGAAUUGCGAAACCAGACGAGAGAGAUAGAAGCGGAAGAAUUGCGAAACAAGACGAGAGAAAUAGAAGCGGAAGAAUUGCGUUGCCAGACGAAAGAGAUAGAAGCGGAAGAAUUGCGGAACCAGACGAAAGAGAUAGAAGCGGAAGAAUUGCGGAACCAGACGAAAGGGAGAGAACUAAAAGAAAUAGAAAACAAAACCAAAAAGAAAGACAAACAAAAAUGUAAACCAGAAAAAUAGGAUUACAAAUAAAGAAAAUGAAUCUACGAAUGUUUCAGACUAGAAGAAUUAGUGAAACUAGACAAACUUGGCAUGUCAGAACCAGUUUCAAAAGAACAAUUAACAGAAAUAACAAACUCCAUUUACGAUCGAUAUCACGAAGAAAUUGUUUCUUGUGCAGUUUGUAAUCAGUUCAUCGAGAUUUCAAAAUCCAAAAUUUUCCCAUUUAACAAAUCGCCAAGAAAACUAUUUUCAUUUCUUAUACCACCAGAUGAUAGUGGUAACUCAGGAAAACCUUUGCAUCCAGAAAAUAGAAAACAAUAUGGAAUCGGCCCCGAGCGCUAAUGCAAUUCCACAAGGAUCGAAACGUUUUGCUCUACUAUCAAAACAUCCUGAGGCAGCUGCGUUAAAUUUUAAACGCAUUUUACAUAUU